rnacentral:lncRNA from 1 species
UGUUGGACGAGCCACGAAAGAGGUAGUUACCGAGGAGUUUUUGCGUGUUCUUUGUUUUUGAGUCACGUUUGGUCGGUUUUAGGGCAAAUUCUGUACAAGAUGUAAUAUAUGGGUACCUAACUUGGAAAAAUUAUGUGAACGGCAUUUUUAAGCAUGGAUUGGGUUAUAAAAAGUUAUGUUGGACGAGCCACGAAAGAGUUAGUUAUCGAGGAGUUUUUGCAUGUCCUUUGUUUUUGAGUCGUGUUUGGUAGGUUUAAGGGCAAAUUAUGCACAAGUUUUCAUAUAUGGGUACCUAACUUGGAAAAAUUAUGUAAACAACAUUUUUUAAGCAUGGAUUGGGUAGCAAAAAGUUUUUUUGGACGAGCCAUGAAAGAGGUAUUUAUCGAGGAGUUUUUGCGUGUCCUUUGUUUUCGAGUCGCGUUUGGUCGGUUUUAGGGUAAAUUAUGUACAAGAGGUCAUGUAUGCUUACCUAACUUGGAAAAAUUCUGUGAGCAGAAUUUUUUAUGAAUGGAAUUUUUUAUGAAUGGAUUGGGUAGCUAAAAAUUAUUUUGGAUGAGCCAAGGAAGAGGUAGUUAUAGAGGAGGUUUUGCGUGUCCUUUGUUUUCGAGUCGCGUUUGGUUGGUUCAAGGGCAAAUUUUGUACAAGAUGUCAUAUAUGGGUACCGAAGUUGGAAAAAUUAUGUGAACGACAUUUUUAAUUAUGGAUUGGGUUAUAAAAAGUUAUGUUGGAGGAGCCACGAUAGAGUUAGUUAUCGAGGAGUUUUUGCGUGUCCUUUGUUUUCGAGUCGCGUUUGGUCGGUUUUAGGGCAAAUUCUGGACAAGCUGUCAUAUAUGGGUACCUAACUUGGAAAAAUUCUGUAAACGGCAUUUUUAAGCAUGGAUUGGGUAGCAAAAAGUUAUUUUUGGACGAGCCAUGAAAGAGGUAUUUAUCGAGGAGGUUUUGCGUGUACUUUGUUUUCGAGUCGCGUUUGGUCAGUUUUAGGGCAAAUUAUGGACAAGCUGUCAUAUAUGGGUACCUGACUUGGAAAAAUUGUGUGAGCAGCAUUUUUUAAGCACGGAUUGGGUAGUAAUAAGUUAUUUUGGAUGAGCUAAUAAAGAGGUAGUUAUCGAGUAGUUUUUGCGUGUCCUUUGUUUUCGAGUCGCGUUUGGUCGGUUUUACGUCAAAUUCUGGACAAGCUGUCAUAUAUGGGUACCUAACUUGGAAAAAUUCUGUGAGCAGAAUUUUUUAAGUAUGGAUUGCGUAGCAAUAUGUUGUUUUGGACAAGCCAUGAAAGAGGUAUUUAUCGAGGAGUUUUUGCGUGUCUUUUGUUUUCGAGUCGCGUUUGGUCGGUUUUAGGGCAAAUUCUGCACAAGCUGUCAUAUAUGGGUACCUAACUUGGAAAAAUUCUAUGAGCAGCAUUUUUUAAGCAUGGAUUGGGUAGCAAUAAGUUAUUUUGGAUGAGCCAAGAAAGAGGUACUUAUCAAGUAGUUUUUGCAUGUCCUUUGUUUUCGAGUCGCGUUUGGUCGGUUUUAGGGCAAAUUAUGUACAAGACAUCAUAUAUGGGUACCUAAUGUGGAAAAAUUAUGUAAACAACAUUUUUUAAGCAUGGAUUGGGUAGCAAAAAGUUAUUUUGGACGAGCCAUGAAAGAGGUAUUUAUCGAGGAGUUUUGCGUGUCCUUUGUUUUCGAGUCGCGUUUGGUCGUUUUAGGGCAAAUUCUGGUCAAGAUGUCGUAUAUGGGUACCUAAGUUGGAAAAAUUCUGUGAGUAGCAUUUUUUAAGCAUGAAUUGGGUAGCAAUAAGUUAUUUUGGAUGUGCCAAGAAAGAGGUAGUUAUCGAGUAGUUUUUGCUUGUCCUUUGUUUUCGAGUCACGUUUAGUCGGUUUUAGGGCAAAUUCUGUACAAGACGACGUAUAUGGGUACCUAACGUGGAAACAUUCUGUGAACGACAUUUUUAAGCAUAGAUUGGGUAGCAAAAAGUUAUAUUGGACGAGCCACGAAAGAGGUAGUUAUCGAGGAGUUUUUGCGUGUCCUUUGUUUUUGAGUCGCGUUUGGUCAGUUUUAGGGCAAAUUCUGUACAAGAUGUCAUAUAUGGGUACCUAACUUGGAACUAUUCUGUGAACAACAUUUUUAAGCAUGGAUUGGGUAGUAAAAAGUUAUUUUGGGCAAGCCACGAAAGAGGUAGUUAUCGAGGAGUUUCUGCGUGUUCUUUGUUUCCGGGUCGCGUUUGGUAGGUUUUAGGGCAAAUUCUGUAACAGAUGCAAUAUAUGGGUACCUAACUUGGAAAAUAUCUGUGAACGACAUUUUUUAUGCAUGGAUUGGGCAGCAAAAAGUUAUUUUGGACGAGACACAAAAGAGGUAUUUAUCCAGGAGUUUUUCCGUGUCCUUUGUUUUCGAGUCGGGUUUGGUCAGUUUGAGGGUAAAUUCUGUACAAGAUGUCAUGUAUGGUUACCUAUCUUGGAAAAUUUCUGUGAACGGCAUUUUUUAAGCAUGGAUUGGGUAGAUAAAAGUUAUUUUGGACGAGACAUGAAAGAGGUUGUUAUCAAGGAGUUUUUGCGUGUCCUUUGUUUUUGAGUCGCGUUUGGUCGGUUCAAGGGCAAAUUAUGUACAAUAUGUCAUAUAUGUGUCGGUUCCCGGGCUGAUUUCCACGAUUGACGAACCCUGGGGUGCAUUUACUUGUCGGUCAUCAACACCCGCAGUUUUGGCCGAUUCUGGCCCGUUUCGUGCACUAUUACACACUGUUUUAGGGUCCCGGAGUGAUUUCCAUGAUUAACGAACUCUGG